AUGGGCCCCGCGCGCGGUGAUGUCAUGCGCGGCAGCCGCAGCGCGCGGCGCCAACGGCCGCUAAUGGCCGCUAACCGCCCGCCCUUUUCUUCCCUCUGUCCUCCUCCUCCUCCGCGGGCAGGACGUCUCUCACACUCACAUACACACGUGCUUUCCACGCUGGGUCCCGAGGGGCCAGGGGUGAAGGAUGGAGGGAGGACUUGCACACUCCGUUUUAGCCUUACAGCUCAGCGCGUGGCACACGGCUUUGCGAUGGCGCGGGCCUACUCCGUGCUGGUGCCGAGGCCUUGGCUGGAGGAGCACGGACAGCGGGCCAUGGAGGCGGGCAGACGUGGGGCAGCACACUGGCAGUCGGGUGCGCAGGGGAUCCAUCCCCCCUCCUUGCACCGAGCCCCAUGCCAAGCGCGCUGUGUUGGGAGGCACACACCGCUUUUUUCAUCCACACAGACCCUAAAAAGAAACAGCGCCAUGGUUGGCUUUUACUGUUCAGGUUUAAUGCCAUCCCUGCUAGGGCAUAAUAAACCCUUCAUCCUGGUGCCCUCCUCACGAUCCAUGGGAUGCCUCCUCUCUGUAUCUGGUAGGGUUAAGAAAUUUCAUAGCAGCACAGGGGCAUUUUGCGGAUGGCUCAGGCCUGAGCGCCCAGACCCUGCCAGAGCAGAUACAGCUGUGCCCAGCAUGUCCCCAAACAGUUCUGAGCUGCUCACUGGACUGACUAGAUUGGCCUCAGAUCUGACUUACUACCUUGCUUUGUCUGAUGGCUACUGGAGAGCAAACAGAACCUGUUCCUAUCAGCAACCCUGCUUGGGUGCUGUGGGUGCUGUUUGGCAAGGGCACAGCCCUGCCUGCGUUGUGGUCACCCUUGGCUCCCAGCUCAUCCUUUCCUGUAGAGCAGCCCUGAUCCUGCUGCUCCUGGUAGUUAGUUCAACAAGGCCUGGAGGACUAGGCUGGAGCUUGAAUAGCACUCCUGGCUGGGCCCACAGGCAGAGGGUGCAGGGUGGAGGGCCCACAGGCAGAGGAUGCAGAGGAGGUAAGGCCUACUGGUGCCUCACAGGAAGGCGUAAAAGGCAUAAAAGGGGUCUAACCUCCCUUAAGAUCUACCUGUAG
rnacentral:lncRNA from 1 species